rnacentral:rRNA from 1 species
GAUGAACGCUGACGGCGUGCCUAAUACAUGCAAGUCGAGCGAACGGACGAGAAGCUUGCUUCUCUGAUGUUAGCGGCGGACGGGUGAGUAACACGUGGAUAACCUACCUAUAAGACUGGGAUAACUUCGGGAAACCGGAGCUAAUACCGGAUAAUAUUUUGAACCGCAUGGUUCAAAAGUGAAAGACGGUCUUGCUGUCACUUAUAGAUGGAUCCGCGCUGCAUUAGCUAGUUGGUAAGGUAACGGCUUACCAAGGCAACGAUGCAUAGCCGACCUGAGAGGGUGAUCGGCCACACUGGAACUGAGACACGGUCCAGACUCCUACGGGAGGCAGCAGUAGGGAAUCUUCCGCAAUGGGCGAAAGCCUGACGGAGCAACGCCGCGUGAGUGAUGAAGGUCUUCGGAUCGUAAAACUCUGUUAUUAGGGAAGAACAUAUGUGUAAGUAACUGUGCACGUCUUGACGGUACCUAAUCAGAAAGCCACGGCUAACUACGUG